rnacentral:miRNA from 1 species
AAGAUCUGUAAAUUAGAUGAUA